CCUACGGGAGGCAGCAGUGGGGAAUAUUGCACAAUGGGCGAAAGCCUGAUGCAGCAACGCCGCGUGAAGGAAGAAGGCCUUCGGGACGUAAACUUCUGUCCGUGGGGAAGAAGAACGGACGGGACCCAAGGAGGAAGCCCCGGCUAACUACGGGCCAGCAGCCGCGGUAAUACGUAGGGGGCAAGCGUUAUCCGGAAUUCUUGGGCGUAAAGCGUACGUCGGGGGAAACCUAGGCGCAGGGUGUAAGGAAAUGGCUCAACCAUUGUUCGCCCUGCUAACUGGGAUGCUUGAGUGCAGGAGAGGGCAGCGGAAUUCCUCUUGUAGCGGUGUACUUCCUAUUUCUUAGGCGGAA
rnacentral:rRNA from 1 species